CAGCCGCCACGGUAAUACAGAGGAUGCAAGCGUUAUCCGGAAUGAUUGGGCGUAAAGGGCUCGCAGGCGGUUUCUUAAGUCUGAUGUGAAAGCCCCCGGCUCAACCGGGGAGGGUCAUUGGAAACUGGGAAACUUGAGUGCAGAAGAGGAGAGUGGAAUUCCACGUGUAGCGGUGAAAUGCGUAGAGAUGUGGAGGAACACCAGUGGCGAAGGCGACUCUCUGGUCUGUAACUGACGCUGAGGAGCGAAAGCGUGGGGAGCGAACAGGAUUAGAUACCCCCGUAGUCCCUGUCUCUUAUAC
rnacentral:rRNA from 1 species